rnacentral:rRNA from 1 species
AAGCCUGGGCGCAGGCCUACACAUGCAAGUCGAGCGGUACACAAGGGAGCUUGCUCCUGAGGUGACGAGCGGCGGACGGGUGAGUAAUGCCUAGGGAUCUGCCCAGUCGAGGGGGAUAACAGUUGGAAACGACUGCUAAUACCGCAUACGCCCUACGGGGGAAAGGAGGGGACCUUCGGGCCUUUCGCGAUUGGAUGAACCUAGGUGGGAUUAGCUAGUUGGUGAGGUAAUGGCUCACCAAGGCGACGAUCCCUAGCUGUUCUGAGAGGAUGAUCAGCCACACUGGGACUGAGACACGGCCCAGACUCCUACGGGAGGCAGCAGUGGGGAAUAUUGCACAAUGGGCGAAAGCCUGAUGCAGCCAUGCCGCGUGUGUGAAGAAGGCCUUCGGGUUGUAAAGCACUUUCAGUAGGGAGGAAAGGGUAUUGCUUAAUACGCAAUAUCUGUGACGUUACCUACAGAAGAAGGACCGGCUAACUCCGUGCCAGCAGCCGCGGUAAUACGGAGGGUCCGAGCGUUAAUCGGAAUUACUGGGCGUAAAGCGUGCGCAGGCGGUUUGUUAAUCCAGAUGUGAAAUCCCCGGACUCACCCUGCGCAUUGCAUUUUGGCCUGGCGAACCGAGAGGUCUUGUGGAAGGGGGG